rnacentral:rRNA from 2 species
UGCGGCAGCUAUACAUGCAAGUCGAGCGAAUGGAUUAAGAGCUUGCUCUUAUGAAGUUAGCGGCGGAGGGUUAACACGUGGGUAACCUGCCCAUAAGACUGGGAUAACUACGGGAAAGCGGGGCUAAUACCGGAUAACAUUUUGAACCGCAUGGUUCGAAAUUGAAAGGCGGCUUCGGCUGUCACUUAUGGAUGGACCCGCGUCGCAUUAGCUAGUUGGUGAGGUAACGGCUCACCAAGGCAACGAUGCGUAGCCGACCUGAGAGGGUGAUCGGCCACACUGGGACUGAGACACGGCCCAGACUCCUACGGGAGGCAGCAGUAGGGAAUCUUCCGCAAUGGACGAAAGUCUGACGACGAGCAACGCUGCGUGAGUGAUGAAGGGUUUCGGGUCGUAAAACUCUGUUGUUAGGGAAGAAUAAUUAGUUGUAAUUAACUGUGCACGUCUUGACGGUACCUAACCAGAAAGCCACGGCUAACUACGUGCCAGCAGCCGCGGUAAUACGUAGGUGGCAAGCGUUUAUCGGAA